rnacentral:rRNA from 1 species
UACAGAGGGUGCAAGCGUUGCUCGGAUUUACUGGGCGUAAAGCGUACGCAGACGGCCACGCAGGUCGGGUGUGAAAGCCCGGGGCUCAACCCCGGAAUUGCAUUCGAAACCAUGUGGCUCGAGGAUGGGAGAGGAGAGUGGAAUUCCCGGUGUAGAGGUGAAAUUCGUAGAUAUCGGGAGGAACACCAGUGGCGAAAGCGGCUCUCUGGCCCAACCCUGACGUUCAGGUACGAAAGCGUGGGGAGCAAACAGG